UACGGAGGGUGCAAGCGUUAUCCGGAAUCACUGGGCGUAAAGGGCGCGUAGGCGGGCAGCUAAGUCAGUGGUGAAAUCUCCGGGCUUAACCCGGAAACUGCCAUUGAUACUAUCUGUCUUGAAUAUCGUGGAGGUAAGCGGAAUAUGUCAUGUAGCGGUGAAAUGCGUAGAUAUGACAUAGAACACCAAUGGCGAAGGCAGCUUACUGGCCGAAUAUUGACACUGAGGCACGAAAGCGUGGGGAGCAAACAGG
rnacentral:rRNA from 1 species